GAUUUUGAAAGAUGAGGCAAAAGGAAUGUAAGAGCUAGGUAAAAGGUGCAGCAUUGUGCCUUGCUGUCUUUGUUAUGUCAUAGCUAGUGUACACUGGAACUCUCAGCAGCACUGGUUACCUACCCAAGACAUGCUCCACACAGGGACACUCAGCUUCUCUCACAUAGUUGGAGAGGGACUAAGAAAGUUUCACAUCUCAUCACCAGAGGAUUUAUAAGUAGUUGAUGCUUGGAUUUAGAGAAAACACUGAAGGAGCUGAAGGAGUUUGCAACAACAUAAAAAGAACAACAAUAUCAACCAACCAAACCCCACCAGAGCUCCCAGGGACUAAACUACCAACCAGUGAGUAUACAAGGAGGCACUCAUGACUCCAGCCACAUAUGUGGCAGAGGAUGGCAUUAUCCAGCCUCAAUGGAAGGAAAAGCCCUUGGUCCUGUGAAGACUUGUUUCCUCAAUGUAGGGGGUUGCCAGGACCUUGAAGUUGGAGUGGGUGGGUAGCAAUGGGAGCAUCCACAUAGAAGUAGGUAUGGGAGAAGGGGGAGAGGGGAUAAUAUUUGAAAUGUAAAUACAUGAAAUAUCCAAUAAAAA